CCCUACGGGACGCAGCAGUGAGGAAUAUUGGUCAAUGGACGAGAGUCUGAACCAGUCAAGCCACGUGAGGGAAGACGGCCCUAUGGGUUGUAAACCUCUUUUGUCGGAGAACAAAACCCGGGACGUGUCCCGGACUGCGUGUAUCCGAAGAAAAAGCAUCGGCUAACUCCGUGCCAGCAGCCGCGGUAAUACGGAGGAUGCGAGCGUUAUCCGGAUUUAUUGGGUUUAAAGGGUGCGUAGGCGGUCCGUUAAGUCAGCGGUAAAAUUGCGGGGCUCAACCCCGUCGAGCCGUUGAAACUGGCAGA
rnacentral:rRNA from 1 species